GCUUUGAACCCAGUGGCAUUAGCGCUUGCUUCUGGGAAACGGGGAUCGUGUUGUAGAGGGGACCUGCCAGAGCUGGGGUGAGAGUAAAUGAGAUCACACAGACCUGCACGUGUGCACAUAUGUACAAAUGCGUAUGGUUUGCACGUAGGUGCAACGCCUUGUAAACCAUCAUGCUGUAGGUAGGGGCAUUUGAUGUGGUGGUUCCAAAGGAAACCUAACAACAGGCAGAAGAAGGCAAAAAAUGGACACAUAUAAGAUUGCAACUGCAACUGUCACUGGCAAUCAGUUUGCAGAACGCUGCUUCUCACAUUCUCCCUGAAAGUCGCUGUGCGUCUCGUCAUCAGCGUUCUCAAGACAUCAGUUUCCAGGGUGAUGUGAGAAGGCGGGGGAUGAAAAUUUGGAAUAGGCCAUCUACAUAGAUGUUCGCUGGCAGUGCUUCAGGCUUUGGGCUACUGGACAGCUGUGUGUCAGGGACAUGCACGAACCAGUCCCAUUAAUAUAUUUGCCACUGACAGAGCUACGCUGCCUCCAGAAGGGUACUGUGUCCUCCAGAGUGGGCAAGUUCUCUGGCACGCCUUGGCGCAGGCUCUGGAGGACUGAGGGCAGAUUGUGUAAUUCACAGAAGCAGCUGUCUCUGUGUGGUGGUAAAUGGGUUCCUUGUGUGGUCAUGGUGUGGGCUGGCCCAUUGGUCCUCGUGUAUCUGCCACAUCUUCACAACAGAAUUCUCACCAGACCCAUCCACCAUAGUUUUCUGGUAUAUACUCCUCCCAAGGGUUCAUUCCCGAUUGUACUGUUGUGACCAUACACUGGAGAAGCAGAACCAACCGGGGAAUCUUGGAGAUUGACUUUUCGAGUUGCCCAAGUGGGAAAUUUCUUCCCGUGCAGUGGAAUAGUCCUACCCAGGGCACAGAUCCCAGUGUAGGCACAGAUCUCUGCUUCAGCCACUUAAUAGAGGGAGAGGGUGGCCGCUCAGGGCAGUCACAAGGAAGUGUGAAGGAUCCAGUCACAAGUUGCUCGUGGCUGUGCCUGGGGCCUAGAUUAGCUGCUACCGUUGUUCACAGUCAGACCAGCCUGGCCAGAUUGUCUCAUUUCUGUGACCUCCCCAAGGCAAACCACUAGAGCCUGGGAAAGCCCCUCACUUAUUGGUAUCACGUUACCAGAGGCCUUUGAUGGCACCCCUGUUAGACACUGCUGUUUAGGUAGAAAGAAUCUUAUACUUGGGAGAUGGAGAAUCUAGAUUUAAGUUCUUCCAAAAAGCCACUGCCAUUUACUGUGUGGCCUUGGACAAGUCACUUUGAUCUCUCCACUGCUGCAGAGGGUUUUCCAAACUUGAUGACCUUGAGGACUGGGAAGCCCCUGGAGAGUGUUUUGAUAGUCAGCUGAGAAUGGUAGUGAUAGUCCGAAUGCAAGCAUUUAUUAGAAGUAUAUGGUGGGGGUUGGAGUGGUGUGAUGAAUUGGGAGAUUGGGAUUGACACACGUACGCUAAUAGGUAUUAAAUGGAUAACCAGUAAGAACCUGCUGUAUAAAACAAUUAAAUGAUUCAAAAAUUCAAAAAAAAAAGAAAAGAAGUAUAUGGUCCUCUGCUGUGGGCAGGCACAACACACAUCGAUACAUUAUCCAGCACUGGCCUCUUCUUUGGAAGUAUCUGAUCUUACCUUGUCCACCCCAAGCAGCGCAGGCUAAAGUGAGCUCCAUUUCAUGGUCAAAAGUUGUAGGAGACUUCCAGCCAUCCCCAGGACGCUGUCCUUUCCAAAGUGGACUUCAGUUCAGUAUCCACUUCAGUUCAGGCCUUCCUCACCCAUCACUUUGUGGGUACCUGCCUCUUACCUGGUCUUCCCACUGCAGUCCAUCCAUCAUUCUGGUUUCCACUCACUCCUGCUUUUGAAACCCUCCUGUGGUUCCAUGUCCCCUUGGCAUAAAACACUUAGUGUGUCAUUCAAGCAGCCUAUGGUCCAGCCACCCUGACCUCCCUGCCAUAUUCUUUCAUUCCUCUGGGGCUUUCUUGUACAGCCCCGUCUCACUGAAGAAUACCUUUCCCCUCCAUGUUCAUUUGUGGACUCUCUUCUGGGAAGUGCCUCGUCUCUCUCUCUCUCUCUCUCUCUCUCUCUCUCUCUCACACACACACACACACACACACACACACACACACACACAC